rnacentral:rRNA from 1 species
AUUGAACGCUGGCGGCAGGCCUAACACAUGCAAGUCGAGCGGAUGAAGGGAGCUUGCUCCUGGAUUCAGCGACGGACGGGUGAGUAAUGCCUAGGAAUCUGCCUGGUAGUGGGGGACAACGUUUCGAAAGGAACGCUAAUACCGCAUACGUCCUACGGGAGAGAGCAGGGGACCUUCGGGCCUUGCGCUAUCAGAUGAGCCUAGGUCGGAUUAGCUAGUUGGUGAGGGAAUGGCUCACCAAGGCGGCGAUCCGUAGCUGGUCUGAGAGGAUGAUCAGUGACACUGGAACUGGGACACGGUCCGGGCUCCGACAGGAGGCAGCAGUGGGGAAGAUUUGACGAUGGGCUAAACCCUGAUCCAGCCAUGCCUCGUGUGUGAAGAAGGUCUUCGGAUUGUAAAGCGCUUUAAGUUGGGAGGAAGGGCAGUAAGUUAAUACCUUGCUGUUUUGACGUUACCGACAGAAUAAGCACCGGCUAACUUCGUGCCAGCCGCCGCGGUAAGAC